rnacentral:misc_RNA from 1 species
CUAUAUUACGAACUGUCGUAAUGAUGAAACUUACUCCACCGAAGACUUACUUUUAAGUUAUUUUAUUUCAGCUUUUAACUUUCUGAUUUCUAACCAGUCAACACAGAACACAACAACAAUGAUAACGAUAAAAUAAACAUCGAUAUAUUCUGUUAUCAAAGGAGAUACAAUAAAUGCAAAUGUUGCAAAUCCAAGCCCUGCGAUGCUCAAUAAAAACUUAUCCUUAUGAAUUCAAAAGUCAUUAUGCUAUCACCCUCGCUCGUAUACUGUAUGCCUUUCGAUUUGAAUAGAUGUUUUAGCUAAAAUAAAACUUAAAAAUCUAUUUCAUUAACCAUAAAGAACAGCAAAAGUGAAUUGAAUUGACUAGCCAUCAACAUUUUAUAAGCACCAACAGCCACCA